GAAAAGGUCUUGCUCUGUUGCCCAGGCUGGAAUGCCAUGGCACGAUCUCAGCUCCUUGCAGCCUUGACCUCCCAGGCUCAAGCAAUCCUCCUGCCUCAGCCUCCUGAGGAAACUACAGGGUGCAGCACCUCGCCCUGCUCUCGCUUCUUCCUUCUCCAGCCAUGUACGACAUGCCUGCUUCCCCUUUGCCUUCUGCCAUGAUUAUGUUUCCUGAGGCCUCCCCAGCCAUGCUUCCUGUACAGCCUGCAUAACUGGGCAACUUAGACAGAUACAGACGCACAUAGAAGAAACAUGAUGUGACGACUAGACAAACAUAGAAAGUAGACGACUAUCUAUAAACCCAUAAAAGAGACCUGGAAUAGAUUAUUUACUCACGGCCUUCAGAAGAAAUCAAUCCUGAUGACACAGUGAUUU
rnacentral:lncRNA from 1 species